rnacentral:misc_RNA from 1 species
AAGUCGUAACAAGGUAUCCGUAGGUGAACCUGCGGAUGGAUCAUUAAAACACGUGUUUACACACGUUACCAACCAACCCGUGCGAGGAGCCUUGCUGACAUAAAAAGUGUUCGAUCGUUGUGGUCGGUGCUUCAUCGUGUACAACUUGUCGCAAAAACGACAAGUCGUCGGCUUGCGCUCCGUUCCUUUCUUCUUUGCACACGAUGUUUCUUUUACAAACCUUAAAACCCUUUCAUUCUUUUUACUGAAUGACUUAACCUUUUCUUUCGAAAAGGACUUCUCUACUAGAUCCUCGGAUCGAACGGAAGUCUCUGACUAGAUAUGAAAACCCUGUACAACUCUUAGCAACGGAUAUCUUGGUUCUC